rnacentral:rRNA from 1 species
CAGGACGAACGCUGGCGGCGUGCUUAACACAUGCAAGUCGAACGGUAACAGGAUAGCUUGCUAUCGCUGACGAGUGGCGGACGGGUGAGUAAUACUUAGGGAUCUGCCUUUGAGUGGGGGAUAACUAUUGGAAACGAUAGCUAAUACCGCAUGAUGUCUACGGACCAAAGGGGGCUUCGGCUCCCGCUCAGAGAUGAACCUAAGCGAGAUUAGCUUGUUGGUGAGGUAACGGCUCACCAAGGCAAUGACGGGUAGCCGGACUGAGAGGUUGGCCGGCCACAUGGGAACUGAGACACUGUCCUGACUCCUACGGGAGGCUGCAGUCGAGAAUCUUCCGCAAUGGGCGAAAGCCUGACGGAGCGACGCCGCGUGCAGGAUGAAGGCCCUCGGGUCGUAAACUGCUGUCACAUGUUAAGAAACCUACAGGUUUACCUGUAGCUGACGAAGGCAUGAGAGGAAGUCACGGCUAACUUCGUGCCAGCAGCCGCGGUAAGACGAAGGUGGCUAGCGUUAUUCGGAUUCACUGGGCAUAAAGAGCGCGUAGGCGGCUUGGUCAGUGGGAGGUGAAAGCCCGGAGCUCAACUCCGGAAUUGCCCCC